rnacentral:misc_RNA from 1 species
GAAAAUUUGAGCGGUACGUUCACACAGGUGAUUUUCGUUAUUGUGAUGACAUGAAAUUAGAGCCUGUAUUGAAUGCAUUUGUGGGUGCUGAUGCUGUAUUUUUGGAUACAACUUAUUGUCAUCCGAAAUUUAUAUUCCCUAGUCAACAGGAGUCAAUUGAUUAUAUAGUUGGAGUUAUAGAGAAAAGUGGAGUUGAGAAUGAGGGUUCAUUGAAAAAUAUCUUGUUUCUUAUUGCUACUUAUGUCAUUGGGAAAGAGAAGAUUUUAAUGGAGGUUUCACGGAGGUGUCAGAGAA